GUCUAUAGUCCUACCACCUUGAAUACACCUGAUCUUGUCUGAUCUUGGAAGCUAAGCAGGGUUGGGCCUCGUUAGCACUUGGAUGGGAGACCGCCUGGGAAUAUCAGGUGCUCUAGGCU
ensembl:rRNA 5S_rRNA 5S ribosomal RNA